rnacentral:rRNA from 1 species
UACGUAGGUGGCAAGCGUUGUCCGGAUUUACUGGGCGUAAAGAGCGCGCAGGCGGUCGUUCAAGUCGCGUGUGAAAGCCCCCGGCUCAACUGGGGAGGGUCACGCGAUACUGAUCGACUCGAAGGCAGGAGAGGGUAGUGGAAUUCCCGGUGUAGUGGUGAAAUGCGUAGAUAUCGGGAGGAACACCAGAGGCGAAGGCGGCGAUCUGGGAAGAUACUGACGCUGAGGUGCGAAAGCGUGGGGAGCAAACAGG